ensembl:snoRNA
UGCCUUUAUGUGUUGCCCUUUCAUAGCUUCCUUAAUGAUCGGGGUGUCAAAUAAGGCAUACAGUGACACUUGUGACUGUUUUUUAAUAAACGAGUUUCUAGUGACUCAUUUAUACAAACAGCUGCAAGGACAUGU